rnacentral:lncRNA from 1 species
UGUCUGUUCAUUACAUCAUACAAAUUUACAAUCUAGGUAAAUACAUUGAUUCAAUUGAUAAAAUUCGUUUUUCUAAUGCUUAUAUUUCAUUAUUUAUAAGGUUUGUCGUCAUUCCCCGCUGAUGAUUCAGUGAUUCACACUUGUUUAUGAUAAAAACAGAUAUGUUGUUAAUCACUAAUACUAUCAUAUCAGUAUAUGUAAACUAUAUAAGCUGUACUGCUUUUGGAUUCAUUUUCAAACAUAUCUGGCGAAAACAUUGAUAGUAAUAUUAAACACAUUGGUAGUAAAACUGUACACAUUGAUAUUGGUACAAGCAGAAUGAAAUAGUACAGACUUAUAAUUUAAAUGAUAAAAUUUUUAAUUUAAAGAUAAAUGAGC